CCUACGGGAGGCUGCAGUGGGGAAUAUUGCACAAUGGGGGAAACCCUGAUGCAGCGACGCCGCGUGAGUGAAGAAGUAUUUCGGUAUGUAAAGCUCUAUCAGCAGGGAAGAAGAAAGACGGUACCUGACUCAGAAGCCCCGGCUAACUACGUGCCAGCAGCCGCGGUAAUAAGUAGGGGGCAAGCGUUAUCCGGAUUUACUGGGUGUAAAGGGAGCGUAGACGGCUGUGCAAGUCUGAAGUGAAAGCCCAGGGCUCAACCCUGGGACUGCUUUGGAAACUGUGGAGCUAGAGUGCUGGAGAGGUAAGUGGAAUUCCUAGUGUAGCGGUGAAAUGCGUAGAUAUUAGGAGGAACACCAGUGGCGAAGGCGGCUUACUGGACAGUAACUGACGUUGAGGCUCGAAAGCGUGGGGAGCAAACAGGAUUAGAUACCCCAGUAGUC
rnacentral:rRNA from 1 species